rnacentral:rRNA from 1 species
AGUGAACGCUGGCGGUAGGCCUAACACAUGCAAGUCGAACGGCAGCACAGUAAGAGCUUGCUCUUACGGGUGGCGAGUGGCGGACGGGUGAGGAAUACAUCGGAAUCUACUUUUUCGUGGGGGAUAACGUAGGGAAACUUACGCUAAUACCGCAUACGACCUACGGGUGAAAGCAGGGGAUCUUCGGACCUUGCGCGAUUGAAUGAGCCGAUGUCGGAUUAGCUAGUUGGCGGGGUAAAGGCCCACCAAGGCGACGAUCCGUAGCUGGUCUGAGAGGAUGAUCAGCCACACUGGAACGGAGACACGGCCCAGACCCUUAGGGGAGGCAGCAGUGGGGAAUAUUGGAAAAUGGGCGCAAGCCUGAUCCAGCCAUACCGGGUGGGUGAAGAAGGCCUUCGGGUUGUAAAGCCCUUUUGUUGGGAAAAAAAAGCAGCGGGUUAAUACCCCGCUGUUCUGACGGUACCAAAAGAAUAAGCCCCGGCUAACUUCGG